AUGGCUGUUUUACGAUAUGAUACCACGAUAUACCUCAGAGACCUAUAUAACUGUACUGUCGUCGUGUGUCUGGGUCAGGGGGCGGGACACACGAUCUUAUAGUAUACUCUGUAUAUCGGACAGGUGUAUUCCAUUCUUGCUCUUCGACUCCAUCAGUUACAGUGUUCACGCAUCAUUGCAUCCCAAAUUUAGUCUAAUUCCUAUCCUCAAAUUCUCUGAUAAAAUCCUCGAGCUGCCAAAUUAUGCGAACCUACCCCCGUCAGUAGCCCGAUUUUUAGUGAUUUUAGUGAUAAAACUUUUAAAAAGUGAUCAGUGAACUGUGAUUAAGGACUCGAAGGGCUCGUGAUUAAUUGACAGCGAUUGCGGGCCAAGGAAUGAGGCUUCACUGUGUUAUUUUAAUAUGUCUUCUCUUUGGUGGGGCAACCCCCGAGGAAGUAGAAGUAGUCGAAGCGAUCCCUGGCGAGGAUUCAGCAGCCCGCCCAGAAGACGCUUCAACAGACCAAUUGGCUCUCGAAUCCCUGAAUUCAAACUCAAACCCUCCUUCAAACUCUGCCUCUAACUCCAACCGCGGAACAAUCGGUUCCAAUCGGCACAAUGUAGCCUAUCACGGCCCUCCUCCUCCCCCGCCAGGAAAGCAAUCCACAGAAGCUCUGGACAAAGUUUUCACCACCGGAACAGGCGUAAGCAGUGACUGGCCUUCAACAUCCCCCGACAUGCCGAAAAUAGUAUCCUUGGACGUAAAAUGCGAGAAGAAUCUGAUGAAGAUAUUCUUGGGCUUCGACAAACCUUUUUACGGCAUAGUCUUCAGCAAAGGCCACUACAGCAACGUAAAUUGCGUCCACCUUCCCGCAGGACUAGGCCGGACCUCUGUCAACUUUGAAAUCGGGAUUCACGCCUGCGGAACAGCUGGAAACACCGAAAACGGUUUGUACGGAUACGGCGCGGAGUCAGGAUCAGGAACUUACUUCGAGAACAUCAUCGUGGUCCAGUAUGACCCUCAGGUCCAGGAGGUUUGGGACCAAGCCAGAAAGCUUAGAUGCACUUGGCAUGAUUUGUACGAAAAGUCCGUGACCUUCAGACCCUUCCCAGUGGACAUGUUGGACGUGGUAAGAGCAGACUUUGCUGGAGACAACGUUGGCUGUUGGAUGCAAAUCCAGGUUGGCAAAGGACCUUGGGCUUCAGAAGUGUCUGGGCUGGUGAAGAUUGGUCAAACCAUGACCAUGGUCCUGGCGAUAAAGGACGACGAGGCCAAGUUCGACAUGUUGGUCCGCAAUUGCAUGGCUCAUGACGGAAAACGCGCGCCAAUUCAAUUGGUUGACCAGCGGGGCUGCAUUACUAGACCCAAACUGAUGUCCAGGUUCACCAAGAUCAAGAACUUUGGAGCCAGUGCUUCAGUUUUAUCCUACGCCCACUUCCAGGCGUUCAAAUUCCCGGAUUCAAUGGAGGUCCACUUCCAGUGCACCAUCCAGAUCUGCAGGUACCACUGUCCUGACCAGUGCUCUGAAGGAUUAGACUCUGGACUUGGUCCAGGCCUGCUGGAGAACUCCCAUCCUGAUGUAAGCUACGGACUGCCACCACCUCUUCCUUUGGAGGCUUAUCUCCAAGCUGGAGCUGGAAGGCCAAGAGACGAACGCCGGAGAAAGUCCAGGGAGGUGUCGCUGACCACCGUUGGGGUCAAUAGGAUCAUCAGGGUGGUUUCCACUGGAGACUUGACCUUUGCUAUUGAUGAGAAGCCUGAAGAAGACACUGUUGUGGUUCCAGUUCAGGCCGGCUCGACUCUCAUCUGUAUGACCACCCCCAAGUUUGCGUUCACGCUGAUAAUCCUCCUGGCGAUCAUGUUGUUCUCCUGUAUCCUGUCGGCUUACUUGUGGAUCAGGUUGAGACCCACCACCAAGAAAAAGUGCAUCGUCGCGUACGUCUCCAAGAAGCCCAAGACCUGCUUUUACUCUUAGGAAAAGGUUGGAUCACGUUUGUAAAUAAAUUGGGGAGAUUCUUGCAGUUGCAAUAUUUAUACUUAUAAAUUUAAUGUGUGGUAAACGUUCGUCCUACCUCAUUCUUACACGGCUUGUUGAAUGUCGUGACGUACGUGGUGCACUCGAGGCUAUCCAAUACCCGGUGGAGGCACGAUUUAAUGUAAGUGUGUGUAAUGUAAGAGUGGAUCUCGAAUGCUUGAUGUGUACUUGUGUAUAUUUUAUCCCGUAUAAAGAGCGUGACCUCAAGAGGAUUACCACCUGACCCUCAGGCUGAUCUUGUGAAAGUAAAGGGAGACUUGCUCAGGGGGUCAGUCAGCCAACAAGAAUUUUUUUUAUCGGAUUAUUUUUUAUUAAUUUAGUUUUUAAGGUGAUUUAAAUCAAAAUUUUUGUGGUUUAAAUGGAAAGUUUAAUAAAUUUGGUUUAGUAAAUUUGGUUGUCCAACUUUGACCACUUUGACUUUUUGGAGGUUUUUGAGGUCAUAAUUGAUGCACCAAUCGAUUGCGACCUGAAAAAAUCACGUAGCUUUUAGCACGAUUUUUUCCCGUAGCCUCAAGAGAAAGUUUUUUAACUUAUGCCCAGAAGUUCGGGGUUCGAAUCUUGAUUGGAGUUUUUUUUUUAUUUUUUUUUUUUUUUAACUUUCUGUUUAAAUGACAAGUCGCCAGUGAAGGAUACUUAAAUAAAUAUAACAAAUCUUGUCAAUAACGAUUUAUAUAAAAUAAACUCAGAAGACUUGAAUAAAAAAUAUUUAUUGUGCCAGAUUUAAAUUAACACCUCAGUAACAAAAAGGUUUAUGUUAUUGCGAAUUAAUUUUAUCAGUACAUGUGUAAGUUAUUUAAAGAAAAAUAACCAUAUAUAUAUAUAUAUAAAUAUUAACAUUGAUAUGAAAUUUAUUAUCAAUAAAGUAGAGACGCGUUAGUGUGCGAGAGUUGUAUAACAACACAAGUACAUCUAAUUUGCGUAAUUAGCAUACAAAUUGCGGUAUGAGCAGAUAAAUCGUUUCAAGCCUGUCGGCGAUGAGUCCGUUACUCGGACAUGAAUGAGAAUAACAGAGAGAGAGGGAUAAGAAAAAAAUUUUAAGAACGGAAGAGGAGAAAAAAGGCAUGAGAACGCCCGGCUCUAUAUCAUAAUAAUUUAAGACCCAUUUUUCCGUGGGAAAUUUUUUUUUCGGCCCUUUUUUACGAAUUGUUACGUCCCAAAUUGGGCCAUUAUUUUUUUACUUACCGUCCGUUAUUAUUUAUCUUAUAUUUAUUUAUUUAUAUUAUUUAAUAAUCAAACUAAUGUUAAUGAGAAAAUCCUGUCACUGUACAAGAUAA